rnacentral:rRNA from 1 species
CGCCUGGGGAGUACGGGUGAGGUAACGGCUCACCAAGGCAUCGACGGGUAGCUGGUCUGAGAGGACGAUCAGCCACACUGGGACUGAGACACGGCCCAGACUCCUACGGGAGGCAGCAGUAGGGAAUCUUGCGCAAUGGGCGAAAGCCUGACGCAGCAACGCCGCGUGGGGGAUGAAUGCCUUCGGGUUGUAAACCCCUUUCAGCAGGGACGAAAAUGACGGUACCUGCAGAAGAAGCUCCGGCCAACUACGUGCCAGCAGCCGCGGUAAUACGUAGGGAGCGAGCGUUGUCCGGAAUUAUUGGGCGUAAAGAGCUCGUAGGCGGUUCAGUAAGUCGGGUGUGAAAACUCAAGGCUCAACCUUGAGACGCCACUCGAUACUGCUGUGAUUUGAGUCCGGUAGAGGAGUGUGGAAUUCCUGGUGUAGCGGUGAAAUGCGCAGAUAUCAGGAGGAACACCAGCGGCGAAGGCGGCACUCUGGGCCGGUACUGACGCUGAGGAGCGAAAGCAUGGGGAGCAAACAGGAUUAGAUACCCUGGUAGUCCAUGCCGUAAACGUUGGGCACUAGGUAUGGGAUCAUAUCAACGGAUUCCGUGCCGUAGCUAACGCAUUAAGUGCCCCGCCUGGGGAGUACGG